UACGUAGGUGACAAGCGUUGUCCGGAUUUACUGGGUGUAAAGGGCGCGUAGGCGGACUGUCAAGUCAGUCGUGAAAUACCGGGGCUUAACCCCGGGGCUGCGAUUGAAACUGACAGCCUUGAGUAUCGGAGAGGAAAGCGGAAUUCCUAGUGUAGCGGUGAAAUGCGUAGAUAUUAGGAGGAACACCAGUGGCGAAGGCGGCUUUCUGGACGACAACUGACGCUGAGGCGCGAAAGUGUGGGGAGCAA
rnacentral:rRNA from 1 species